rnacentral:rRNA from 1 species
AGUGAACGCUGGCGGUAGGCCUAACACAUGCAAGUCGAACGGCAGCACAGUAAGAGCUUGCUCUUACGGGUGGCGAGUGGCGGACGGGUGAGGAAUACAUCGGAAUCUACUUUUUCGUGGGGGUUAACGUAGGGAAACUUACGCUAAUACCGCAUACGACCUACGGGUGAAAGCAGGGGAUCUUCGGACCUUGCGCGAUUGAAUGAGCCGAUGUCGGAUUAGCUAGUUGGCGGGGUAAAGGCCCACCAAGGCGACGAUCCGUAGCUGGUCUGAGAGGAUGAUCAGACACACUGGAACGGAGACAAGGUCCAGACUACUACGGGAGGCAGCAGUGGGGAAUAUUGGACAAUGGGCGGAAGCCUGAUCCAGCCAUACCGCGUGGGUGAAGAAGGCAUUCGGGUUGUAAAGCCCUUUUGUUGGGAAAGAAAAGCAGCAGGUUAAUACCCCGCUGUUCUGAAGGUACCCAAAGAAUAAGCACCGGCUAACUUCGUG